GCCCCGACUCGGCCGGCCCCGCCGUGGGGCACAGUGGAGCUUAAAUGCCGCGGCCGUCAGGGUAGAGGAUCGGUUGGUCGUUUCGAAAAGCCAGAAACGCCGGGCACCGUUAUUCGGGGGCCCGCGAGCUCCCGGAGGCCGGGAACCUGUGAUCCAAACGUCCGUGCGUCUUCUCGCGAUUUGGAACUAGUCAACAGCGAUGCUUAAGUGUAUUUAGAGAGAGUGCAGAAUUGCUUAAAUGUAUACGUAUCAUUGCUCCUCUUGAUCCUAUGGAUCUUGGGUUGUAGGCUUGCAUUAGAUACUUGUCUUUUAAUUUAUGAUUUGACUUGCUUUGGAAGGCGCUGACCGCUGUUUCAUCCUACUUGCCCUGAAGUGCUUAGGCUAGGCCCCUUGAUCACUGUGCUUUGUGGGCGGAGAUCCCCUGCUGAUUGAUUUUCCCUUCACUUUUCUUGUUUAUUAUGAAUAAAUACUGACUCCCAAGAUGGAUGGGUUAAUCUUUUCUCUUAAACAGUACCCAUUUGGGCUUUUAUAAGGGUGACACCAACUUUGAGUAUUUUGUCCAUAAUCUUGUAAUUUUUCUAUUUGCUAGGAAACGCUUUAAGUACGUUCCUUUUCCUUUCUCCCUUGUUCUCACCUUGCAAGGAAGUAAGUGGGGAAACGAGAGAAAUUUAUAACGUCGUGGUGAACCACAGUCUUGAAUCUGGAAGAGAUCUCAAGAGAUGAUACCGUCAAAUCGUUUUCUGUCAGAAAGAUUUUUAAAAAGAAAUGGGUGAGAACCAGAAAGGUCAAGUGAUGUGCCUCAGAUAACCCUGUAUUUUGAUGGUAAAACCUUGUAAACAUGGACUGCUUUUUCAAUGUGUACUCCUUUUCAAAAACUAAGUUUUUAAUAUUAUGUAAUCCAUCUAGAUAUAGCUUUACACACAUCAGUGAGGUUUUUUGCAAACACAUUGCAGUUGUACCAGAUUUUGAAAUGAAUAAUAAACAAUAAUUGUUUCUAUGAUGGCUCAUAGUUUUCUUAAUUUUCUCCAUUUAAUAUUCAGCAGCUCUGUGAACAAGGCGCUGCUAUUUCAUUUUACUGAGGUGCAGGAACUGAGGCCAGGUAAGUGAAGUGAGCUUCCCAGUGCUACAGGUGCAGAAAAGGAAGCCAGGACUCUGAUCUUGUCCUUUUGACCUUAAAGGAUAUGUUGUAAACGAGGCCAUAGUGGUUUGUUCUAUUUGUAAUAGUAUUCAGUAAGUUUCUGGUUAAAGUUUAGUUGUUUAAUGUUAAUAUUAAAAGUAGUAGCAAGCAUUCAUAAUCUUGAUGUGCUUGAGCACUUUUCUUCCCCUGAAAACAGAAGCAUGUACAAUGACACAGACUAGUAACAGCAGGUAACAGCCUCCUGCAAGCUGAGUUCAGCAUUGCCGUAGUCCCAUUUUUUGGUCCAUUGUGUUUUCCAUAGAAGUUUUUUAGUGAGAACUCUUAGUGACUUUGGAACACUUGAUGGAUUUUAUAAUUUAAAAAAUACACACUGUGUAAAAACAUACAUGUAUUUUUAUAGCUAUACUUUUUUUGACCAUUAAUAUGAAGUAUCCACAUUUGCACUAACAGUGCUUUUAAUUAAGAGUGUUUUAUCAGCCUUUAAAAUACAGUGUUUUUGAUUGGGGUGCAUUUCAGAACUGCCAGGCCCUGUUGGUUAUGAAACUAAGCUCUGGGUGUGGCCUGGCAUCAGCACUUGUGCCGAGCAUCACAGAUCAUUCUGAUGCAUUCUACAGGCCUAAAUCACUGAUCUAAUUCCAAAAAUGCAUGGCAAAAAAAAAAAAGACACUUUCUGUUUAACCUUUUGAAUGCAAUUUAAAAGAUUUUUUUCUUUUUAAUUUUUUGACUAUGCCUGAAGAUGACUCCUUCA